rnacentral:lncRNA from 1 species
UAAUUCUGAGACAUUGGAAAAAGUUUCCAAUGUAUGGCAGAGCGAAUAAGAAGAAUCAAAUUAGGCAGAAGGAUAAAAGUUUCUCAAAUCUGAAAAGAUGGGAGAGUACUUUAGUAUCAGUUUUGUGAUCAUCUUAAUGAUUAAGAAACCAUAGCACAAUUAGUUCUCUAAGGAAAUCUUAGUGCAUUCUUAUGACUAAGAAGAGGAAUCUUGAAUUGUUGAAAUGGUUAAAUCAAGAAGAUGAGUCAUACUUCGUUCCAAUACAAGUCUUAGAGUCAUACUCCAAGAUUGUAACUUGAGUGACAUGUCUUAAAGAAGGUUUAAAACACUUGUCAAAUGUAAGAGUAAAAGUUUUCUACUCUUGUACAUUUGAAAUUGGUAAGUUGUGAUGUUUUGGAUAAAACAAAGACCAACUUAGGCCAAUUGUGUGAAGUGUUUGUCUUGAUUAGAAUCCACACUAUCUCUUGGAUAUUUGACAAGGGAGUCUUAUAGGUCAAGAGGACAGUGGGAGUCUUAAAGGUCUUGAAAGUCUCAAGAACUAAUCAAGAAUAAAACCUGAAGUUCUUCACUAGCACACGACUUGAGGUUUAUAACCUAUCGUGUUGACAUAUUCUGUGCCCAUUCCAGUUAAAGUUGGCUUUGCAUAUGAGUUCUUAGAGUUCUCAAUUGGUUGCACAACAACUUGGAAGCAAUGGCAGGCCCUUGAGCUGCCAGGUGGCAAGAAAUUAAGAUUGAGUUCAGUCCAUAUGAGUUUGGAUUUGUCAUUAUCCUUGUCUUGUGACUAUGGUUUUGACAAUUCACAUGGAUAAGAACACAUACACCAUUAAAUCUAAGUGUCAUAAGGUUUCUCUCCGAUUCAUGAAAAUGAUGGUGAGGAAACACUUUCACUAAGUAGAUUUUAGCUAGAUAGCAAUUGUGAUAUUUGCAUUCUCAAAGUCGUUAGUGGAGCAUGUGUGGUUUACCGGCACAGUAACAUGGACUUGUGAGAAGUGGCAAAGGUCUAAACAAAUUGAGACUAUGAUUACAACAUCCCUUUUCAUAGUUCUUAAAAAUUGUUUAGAGACACCUGUGAGCUAUCUAAGAUAAGGUGUAUGAUUAUGAUAAAGUUUUAUCAAAGUAAUCUAGUAUCAGAAAUCUGAACUUUUGUAAGAGAGUCAAUAAAGUAUUGAUUUCUAGAAGUCGAGCUGAUUUCUAAGUACAUGUCAAAGCUAGUGGGAGCAUAAGUGUUAUGCUAAUAAUCAUCAUGUUAGUGGGAGCAUGAUAAUUAUGAUAAAUAUUGCAAGUUAGCAAUGUUAAUUAUAGAAAACAAAAGUUUCAAUUGGGAAAAAGUUGUUUUGCUAUAAUUAAGGGAGAGGAAAUUAUGCUUCAUCUCAAAUCUAUAAGCUUAGAUCGUGAGGUUUUAAUCAUUUAGUCAAGGAUAUAUAUGAAUUUCAUGUUGGAAUGGCUCAACAUAAGGAAAUUCUGUAUAUGGGUCCAUUAUUUGCGUUCUAAAAUUCGAUUAUGAUUACGGCAUCCCUUUUCAUAAUCUGAAUUAUGAGAACUUGGCAAAUUGAAAUGGAAAUAUUAUAGCAAAAGACUGGUUUAGUCUUUAUGUAAGACAUCAUGAAUCGUGUCCCAUAUGCUUCGGAUAUAGGAUCGAUUACAUGUGCUAUAUUCAUCCGUUCUAAAAUUUUCCAAAUGCCUGGGGCAUUAAGAAGGGAAAAGGUUUAGAACUGGAUAUGACUAAAAGGAUUAAACAAUUGUCGAGGACAAUCUAAGGUUUACCAAAGAUUGGUUGCUCAAGGACAAUUGGAAGUAUAGUGAUAAUUCUGGAAGGACCAUAUUGACAUAAUCUGUAAGGAGGCAACUCUUGUUCAGAAGUGAUAGUCAAAAUGGAAUCUGGAAAUGUUUCAAAGUUAGAAUUUUCAAUCUGUGUAAGAUUAAGGAAACUUAAUGCAAGAAGGAUAUUUCCAAGGAGUUGAUCUCCUUUGGAAUACUCUGUAAUGAUUGUUGCCAAGUCUUUGUGACUUUGUGCAUAAUCGUUACAAGAGGAUCAAUGCAUAUAAGUUUAGAAUCUAACAGAUUUCUGUAAAUGGCAUGAAUUUGGAAUUCUUGCAUUUGCAGUAAGGAUUUGGGAGUGUGAAAAGAGAAUCAUUGAAGUUAUGUUCAAUUGAUCUAGUUCACAAAGUAAAGAUCAUAGACAAACAUAGUAUGCAUACUUGGUGUGUGGCAUGACUAGUGUUUAAGAAAACAUAGUGUACAUGCUUGGAGCAUGGGACAACUAUUGUUUUAAAUUCAAGAAUAAAGUUGAUAGCUGAAACAGUAUACAAUGAAUAAUGUGUAAUCAUAUGGUGAUAAAUAAAAGGUGUUUUAUUUAUGUUCAAAGGGUUGAUACCAUAUUGGAUUCAAUUAUUAUUGUGUUUCAUUUUGCAUGUUUUGACUUCCCGAAUAAACUGGGUUAUUCUUCCGGAAUGACUAAGUUAUUCAAACCAUCCACAGUCGGUCAUAUGUUGGAAGUAGAUAUGAAUUAAGACUGUCAUGGGUUGGCUUGUAGAGGUCUAAGGUGUUGGACAAAGGGCUACAACACUCAUGAGUGCUCAUAAGUUCUGAGUAUUGGAUUCAACCCGCGCUCAUUGGAAUCACUUCAUGGAUUUUAUCACGAGUGAUCAUGAGACGAUAAUAUCUUAUAUUCUUCAAACCUAGAGAUAUGAGUUGUUACUAUGAGUUGAUAGUACAUUGAUUGCACGAAAACGCAUUUGGUAACUCGGUGCUAUAAAACGUGCCUUUGUGUAUGAUUCAACAAGUAGUAGAACAAGCCAUAUGAGUCGAAGUUUAUCCGUUCCUUUUACCUUCGGGAUAAAAGCGAUAUCUGUGGGCCCCUCGAUGAUUUGAUGAUGACAAAUGGAAGUGCUCGGCCGGGCCAGGACUGAUUUGAUUUGUUCAAUUAGUCAGUCGUCAUAAAUCGGAAAUCGGGAAACAACAAAUGGACAGAGAGAAUGAUUAUAAUCCAUGUCUCAGUCCAUAUGAUAUCUAGAAUGGAGGAAUAUAUGAUCCCUUAUCUAAUGGACAAGUCAUUGACAAAGGUCAGAGUUCAUCUACAAGGUCAGAGUUCGACAGAAGCUUUUGAGAGCUACGAUUGCCAGUUGGUUCCUGAAGUCAUACGCAAUAAUAGUUUUAGACUUAUCCAAGUGGGAGACUGUUGGAUUAAUGUCUAAGUCCAUAACUAUAAUUGGUGAGACUUGACCCGACUCGGCAUGGUCUAUUUAGGUUGCAUGGCAUCAUGCAUUUGGAUAAACUAUAAUGAGAGAAAUAACACUUAUGGUUGGUUAAUAUAUUAUAAGUUCUAAUAUAUUAAUAAGAUUAUUUAAUUAGUAUUGAUCAAGAAUUAAUCUAGGAUUGAUAUGUCGGAUCCAACCAUUUGUAGACCCCAAAGUUCCUGUUCGAGUUUUUGUAUUUCCCCUCGAGGACAGUACUCUCUCAUCAGCAUGGCCUUCAAGUGUUCCCAGUUGAUGGAAUUUACCACCACUAUAGUCAGAGACUUAACAUGGCCAUUCCACCAUGUUAGUGCUCUGUCAGAGAAGGUACAAGUAGCAAACUUGACCUUGUUGCCCUCAGGGCAGGCGCAUAUUUCAAAGACCGCUUCCGUCAUUUCAAUCCAUUGCCUUAAAAUCAUAACCCCACCAGUUCCAUUGAACUUUCAGGGUUUGGCAUUCAUGAAGUCCUUGUAGGUGCAUUCUCGAGGAUGCCCAUGGCUCUCGCCGUGGUUGGAGGGAUGUGCACUUGUUCCUGAUCCACUAGGGGCAGGAGUAUUGAUGACUGACAUAGCAGCUGCUACGGCUGCUAUGAAUGCUGCCUGGGACAUAGUGGCAUCGAAAGGAGGAGGUGGUUGAGGAGUUUGAGGUGGUGGAGGAUGUGGUGGUAUCGGUGUUUUGUUAUUUUGGUUACGCCUUGGAUUUCUACGUGGCGGCAUCUUUUAGCUAUACGUUUAAAAAGAUGACAACAUUGAUAAGAAUAAUCAAAUAAUGAGAGUGACUCAUGGACUAACCCUCCAUGGUCCAACAGCAUAAUGAAUAGUAUGUUUGAAUGAAGCUGAUAGCAUUUGGAUAAUAACUUCCAUAUGAUUAGAUAUCUGUCAGUAAUACUGGAAUUACAUAUGUUGACAGAACUAUGACUAGACCAAGACCUAACAGGUCUAAGAUUUACAAAGAUAAGAAAUUAGACCAAAGUUCUUACAUAAACUAGGUUAUAUCCAAAAGAUGAGUCGCUAAGAUUCUAUCGCGACGAUAACUGCUAGCAUGAGUUCUUGAUCCCUUAUACGCCUGUCAGCUCUCACUUUCUGAGCUCGAAGUUCCCUAACUUCAGCUUGGGUUUCAGCAAGUUCUCUCUGUAGAGAUGCAUUGCGGACCAGAGUCCUUUCCUGAGCAGACUCUAGUUGGCGAAUGCGGAUAAUGUUAAUGCCAUAGUUGGCGUUAAUCUCCAAGACUCGAUUGAUAGUUGAUUGACCCAUUAUCGUGUUCCGAGAAAUCCUACAAACCAUGAUGGGUAGGAACAUGUCAGGAGAACCCCCCUCAGUGAGGUUGUAGAAGAUUUUGUCUCCGUUGUAGGGGAUAGGUUGACCAUGUUCCUGGCUCCAUGUAUUCAAGUUUGUGGCCCACGGAGGUGUGGGUCCUUGAAAUGCGGGACGGGGGUUCAGGAUUGGCUUUUGAUCAGCUGGAGGUAGGUUGUUGACUUCAGGCUCCGAGUCAGAACUAUCAAAGAAGCCUUCGGCCUGAUGAUAAUCCAAAGGGAUUUAGUGAUCAUCUUCCGGUUCUUCCUCUAUCCAAAGGCAUUGCCUUGGUUUGGGAAGGACGGGUCGCCGUGGUGAAAUCCCGCCAUGAUAUCUAUGUUGGAUAAGGUGUCUAAGUCCAUAACUUAUUUGGUACAUACUUGACCUGACCCGGCAUGGUCCAUUUGGGUUGCACUUCACCCAAACGAUUUAUGGAUAAUUUUAUGAGAACUGUAUACUUACGAUUUAUUAAUAUAUUAUAAGUUAUAAUAUAUUAAUAUGAAGUUAUGUUAUUUAAUUAGUCUUAGUCUUAAAUUAAUUAUGAAUUAAUUUAGAGAUUAAAAGGAAGACUAAUUAGAUUAUGGGCUAUUGGUUUUAUAUGGUGUGGGCUAACACUCAUUUGUUAAUGGGCUAGGCUUAUAUGGAAGUCCAUGGAUGAUCCAUGGAGCUUUUAACCCAUGGAUCCUUGGAAAAGGAAAGGUCAUGGGUUAUUAGGGUUUCACCCUAACCAUGCACACUAUAUAAGCAUGCUUAUGGAGCAUGAAAUGGCAACUAGUGAACUAGUGUGUGUGUGCUUGUGUGUGGCCAAAAAUACAAGUGUGUAUACUCUCUCAAAGUUUUCCAAGAGUUUGUGGUGUUUUGUGAUUCCAUUUGAGGCAUUCACACUAUUGGUGCUUGGCCCUCAAACUCCUUAAGAACCAAACUCAUCAAAAAGGUAUGUAAUCUCUUCUAACUCUUUUAUGUUGAAAUGUUCCCCAUGCCAUGUUAGAUAGGUUAUGAACCUUGGAAAAUUAUUAUUUUGCAUGUAUUUAGACAAACAUAGAUCCAAGGUUUAUUAGGGUUGCAUGCACACUUAGGAAGUGUUAGAUUGCUCAAAACCCAACAGUGGUAUCAGAGCCUAGGCUUGCUUGUUUGAUACUUGAUGCAAAAUAGUGAAAAAAGUUGAAAUUGUUGCUGUCUGGCUGAUGGACUCGCCGAGUCCAUGGGGGGACUCGCCGAGUUCAAGGCAAAAUUCAUCCUACUCGGCGAGUAGGUUCGUGCACUCGGCGAGUAGAAUGAUCAGAAUGCAGAAUUUCGACUUUUGCUGCUGGAAAUGGACUAGAAACAUUACCCUAAACUGUUUUGGUGUUUUAAAACUUGUUUUAGUUGGUGUAAUGGUUGUUCUAAUCCAUUUACAAUAGCAUAUAUCAAAAUUCCAUGAUUUUUAUGUGUUCAUAUAAUUCUUGAAAUUUUGAUGAUCAUGUUCAUGUUCUUAUGAAUUUAGAAGAUGAUAGGAAUUAUUUGCUGAAUUGUUUAGAAUUAAUUCUUGAUCAUUUAUGUGUUUUAAUGGAGUCCAUAAUUUGUCCUCAAGUUAUGGAUAUCCAAAGGUCACUUUUCUUUAACACACACAUUUAAACACAUAAGUUACAUGAAAAUGAAGAGUCUUCAUUUUUAUGAACCUUUAAUUCAUAAGUUAUGAAAUGAAAAGUUUUGGAUAGUUACAAAACUUGCCCUCAAGUUUUGGAAUUUGAAAAGUUUCACACACUUUAAUAAACUUUAAUUCCAACACUUAGAGUUUUAAAAGUUAAAAUUCAACACUUAUACUAUUUAUAACAUUAAUGGUUAAUUAUUAUAUAUAUGUAUAAGAACAAGUCGUUUUACCGUUAGUAGGCCUCAUUCACGAAGCCGGUCUAUAAGGUGGGUAUAAGGUUGUUGCCUAUAAAAUGGCGACUUAAUGGGUGUCCACUCUCACCCACCGCUUGCUUGAUCGGUGGAGGGUCGUUAGCCGAACGGGUAGGACAAUGACUUUAAAUUCUCAUUAAAAGUAUAAUGAUUAUUAUAAAGUAACUAAAAAUUUUUUAUUUAAUUCCCAAUCUUAGUUACUUUAGGAAAAAUGUGAAUUUGGUGCUAGCCCAUGGAAUUCACACUUUGUACCUUACCAAGUCGUUGGUGGAGCGUGUGUGGUUAACCGGCACACUAACUUGGACUAGUAAGGAUCACGAAGGGUGACUUAAUGUUUGUCAUAGAUCAAUGGAGCGUGUGUGGUUAACCGGCACAUUGAUUAGGUGAUAAUAUUAAGGGUACCAAGUGAAUUGGUAUGGUUAUUCACACCUUGUUUUGUGAUCCUCGGCAUCCCAGUCACAAAAUUUGAGAGGGCACACUCGAGAUUGAAACAUGCCAUUGAAAAGUUCAAUGAAUCUCAAAAGAUCUAGGAAUUUCAAAUCCAAUUAAAACCUAAUAAAUUAUUUCGUUUUUCAUGGUGGAAAUUGGUGAAUCGUCAUUCGCCUACCUUCAAAUAUUUUAUAGCUUGGAUUACGGCAUCCCUCUUCCAAAUUAUAAAAUAUUGUGUUGGGUCCUAGCCUUAAUAUUUCAUAUUGGGUGUUAUAUUAAGGACUUUGAAUCAACUAACUUGAUUUUCUCCCAUUAUAGAUGUCUGGUUCAGACAACUAUGAUCUUCCCAAAUCUCUUGAAGAUGGUGUCCCUCAACAUCAUGCUUCACUUCCUCCACCUCCUCCAAUUAUUCUCCCUCACCCACAAGUUCUUGAAAAGUUUAAAGUCACUCAAUCCCUAUUGGCAAGCAUAGUCUAUGUGUGCUCACAUCUUGGAGAUAAAGUCACAUAUUGACAAGCCGGGAGAGUUGGGUGUCAAAGUCUCGUGAAAGUUGGAUGUUCAAUCACUUUCUUAGUAACAUAGUGAGUCUCUUUGGGACUACUAUGAGACAGACUAUGACAUGACCCUUAAUGAUGUUAUCUAUUUGCUUGGUGUUGUGGAAUCAGCAAUGAUUUGGAACACCAGUAAAGCAAAUUUGAUUAAAAGAACAACUUCCCAAGUCUUAAAUGGACAUUGACAAUGGUAGCAUUGGAUAUCUAGAAAAGGAUUUCUCUUCCCAAUGGAAAGGGAUCGGCCAUAGUCAACUCGGUUGACCAAAUGGUAAAGAGAAAGGCUAAGUCUGAGAUAGUCUCAUGUGCCAUUACCAAAGGGUCCAUGUGUUUUGUUGCCAAAGGAAGGGGCAUUGGUUGCGAAGCUGCCCUAUUCACCUGAAAGGUCAUAAGGUUGAUCAAGUCAAGAGGUUUGACUCUACUUCGGGUAAAGUCCACUGUCUAACUCUAUUAAGUUCCUAUUUGGAGAUUCUUAUUACAUAAUGUGAAUGGGUCACAUGCUGAUGUUUUUAAGAAUCAAAGAAAAGAUAGGAAGCUUAAAGUAAGUAUAUGUUGAUUCUGAUUGCGAAGGUGGGUUUCGAUCGCAUGGUUCGGUAAUCAGAAUUUUGAGCUGUUGCUUAAGAGUUAUAAUAUAUUGCUUAUGAAUAGAUAACAACAAGGUUUUCAUGUGGAUUGUAAGGAUAAGUUUUUCCGCAAAGUUUUAAAAAAAAAAAAAAAAAGGGUUUUAAUUUUAUUUAUUUUAAAAAUAUCCUUACAAUGGCAUCUGUGGAAAAUUGUUGCUUAUAUGUUUCCAGUAAUAGCAAUAUUGGAAAGUGGAUUUGAUUCUUUCAUUUGUGGUAGUGUCUGAAUUUACCAAAUGAAGAAAGUUUUUCAUCACCCAAGUUUCAAUUGGACAGAAACUUGGAAUCAUACAAGUUGUAUUGUAUGAUGAAUGAGAAUUUUCAUCUUUGAAAAUUAAGACUAAUUCUUUGAUCACAUGUAUAUGUGAGUCAAUUGAAGGACUAAGGAAUUAGGUACACUGGGUGUGCGCUGGUCAAGGUCCACCACAAAGAUUGAUUUGUCAUGAUUUACUAAAGAUUAGUAAAUAUGAUUAUACUUAUGAGGUUAAGUAUAAUUCUGUAACAUUGGAAAGGUUACAAUGUAUGACAAAACAAAUGAGAAGAAUCAAAUUAGGCAGAAAGAUAAAAGUUUCUCAAAUCUGAAAGGAUGGGAGAGUACUUUAGUAUCGUAUUUCAUGAUCAUCUUAAUGAUUAUGAAACCAUAUCACAAAUUCAUACUCUAAGGACGUCUUAGUGCAUUGUUAUGGCUAAGAAGAGAGGUCAUGAAUUGUUGGAUUGGUUAAAAUCAAGAAGAUGAGUCAUACUUCGUUCCAAAACAAUUCUUAGAGUCAUACUCCAAGAUUGUAACUUUGAGUGACAUAAAGGAAGAUUUAUUAACACUAGUCAAAUGUAAGAGUAAAAUGUUUUCUACUCUUGUACAUUUGAGAUUGGUAAGUUGUGAUGUCUUGGAUGAGACAAAGACCAACUAAGACCAAUUGUGUGAAGUGUUAGUCUUGAUAAGAAUCCGCACUAUCCCUUGAAUAUUUGUUUUGUCAAGGAAUGGUUCUUGACUGGGGAAACUUAUAUGUCAAGGGGACAGUGGGAGCCUUAAAGAUCCUGAAAGAGUUUCAAGAUUUAAUCAAGAGUAAAACCUGUAAUUUAUCACUAGCACACGACUUAAGGUUUGCAACCUAUCGUGUUGACAUAAUUCUUAUUUCUGUACCUACUUCAAAUAAGUUGAAUUUGCAUGUGAGUUAUCAGAGUUCAACUUGGAAGCAUUGGUGGGCCUUGUGCUACCAAGGUGACAAGAAACUAAGAUUGAACAAGUUUAAUCCAUGUAAGGCUGAAUUUGUCACUAACCUUAUCUUGUGAUUAUGGUUUUGACAAAUUCACAUGGAUAGGAACUCAUACACUAUAAAAUCUAAGUGUCAUAAGGUUUCUCUCCGAUUCAUGAAAAUGAUGGUGAGGAAACGCUUUCACUAAGUAGAUUUUACGUAGAUAUCAAUUGUGUUAUUUGCAUUUUCAAAAGUCGUUAGUGGAGCGCGUGUGGUUAACCGGCACACUAACAUGGACUUGUGAGAAAUGGCAAAUGCCUAAGCAAUUGAGACUAUGAUUACGGCAUCCCUUUUCAUAGUUCUGAAAAUUGUUUAGACACACAUGUGAGCUAUCUAAGAAAGGGUGUAUGAAUCUAAAUUUCAGAAGUCCAGCAGAUUUCUGGAAAUAUGUCAGAGCUAGUGGGAGCAUAAGUGUUAUGCUGAUAAUCAUCAUGUUAGUGGGAGCAUGAUUAUUACGUUUAGUGUUGCAAGUUAGCAAUGUUAAUUAUAGAAAACAAAGUUUCAAUUCGUGAAGUUGCAGGGGUUGAAAAGUUGUUUUGCUAUAAUUAAGGGAGAGGAAAUUAUACUUCAUUUCAAUUCUAAAGCUUAGAUUGAGAUUUUAAUCAUCUUUAGUCAAGAAUAUAUAUAUGAAUUUUAUGUUGGAAUGGUUCAACUUGAAGAAAUUCUAUAUAUAUUGCGUUUUCAAAAUUCGAUUAUGAUUACGGCAUCCCUCUUCAUAGUUAAAUUUUGAAAACAUGGCAAAUAAAAAAUAUUGUAGCAAAAGACUGGUCUAGUAUCAUGUCUUUAUGUCAAACAUCAUGAAUCGUGUCCCAUAUGCUUCGGAUAUAGGAUCGAUUGCAUGUGCUAUAAUAUUCAUCUUUUCUAAAUUUUCCAAAUGCUUAAGGCAUUGAGAAGGGAAAAGUCUAGAACUGGAUAUGACUAAAGUGAUUAAGCAAUUGUCGAGGACAAUCUGAGGUUCGCCAAAGAUUGGUUGCUCAGGGAAAGUUGGAAGUAUGAUGUAAGUUGUCGGAAAGGACCAUAUUGACAUAUUCUGAAAAGAAGUAACUCUUGUUCGGAAGUGAUAGUCAAAAUGGGACUAUGGAAAUGUCUCCAUAGGUGGAAGUUAUUCAAUCUAUGUAAGAUUAGAAAACCUUAAUGCAAGAAGGAUGUUCAAAGCAAUGUACUUUGAAUAUGAGACUUCCGUUCCAUAGAAGUUGACCUUCUUUGGAAUACUCUGUAAUGACUGGUGACAAGGUUUUGGUGACUUUGUGCAUAAUCAUUACAAGAGGAACAUUGCAUAAAAGUUUAAAAUCUAACAGUUUUUUUGGUAAAUGAUAGGAAUCGGGGAUUCUCACAUUUACAAUAAGGAUUUGGGAUUGUGAAAUGAGUAUCAUUGGAAUCAUGUUCAAUUGAUCUACAUCACAAUGUAAGGAUCAUAGACAAACAUAGUGUGCAUACUUGGAGUAUGGCAUAACUAUUGUUUAGAAAAACAAAGUGUACAUGCUAGGAGCAUGGGACGACUGUUGUUUUUAUUCAAGUCUUAAGUUGAUUGUUUGAAACAUUAUACAAUGAAUAAUGUGUAAUCAAUAUGGUGAUAAAUAAAAGGUGGUUCUAUUUAUAUUCAAAAGGGUUCUGAGACCAUAUUGGAUUCGAUUAUUAUUGUGUUUCACUUUGCAUGUUUUGACUUCCAAAAUAGCUAGGUUAUUCUUUCCGAAUGACUAAGUUAUUUAAACACUCCACAGUCGUUCAUAUGUUGGAAGUAGGUAUGAAUCAAGACUGUCAUGAAUCGAGUUUGUAGAUGGCUAAAUGGGUUUAGUCAUAGCAAUGGUUGCUACAACAUUCAUGAGUGCUCAUAAGUUAUGAGUAUUGGAAUAAACCCACGCUCACUUGUAUCACUUCAUGGAAUUUAUCUCGAGUGAUCGUGAGACGGUAAUAUCAUAUAAAUCUUCAAACCUAGAGAUAUGAGUUGUUACCUAUGAGUUGGUUGUGCAUUGAUUGCACGUAAACGCAUCAGUAACUUGAUGUUAUAAAACGUGCCUUUGUGUACAAUUCAACAAGUAGUAGAACAAGCAUAUGAGUCGAAGUUUAUCUGUUCCUUCUAGAAAUAGAAGCGAUAUCUGGGCCCCUCGAUGAUUUUGUUGUGACCUAUGUACCGGCCGGUCAGAACUAAAUUGAUGUGUUCGAUUAAGUUCUUUGUCAAACAAAUCGAAAAUCGGGAAACAAACUGCUGGACAAUAAGUACGACGUUGUUCCAUGUAUUUGUCCGGCUGAUAUCAUGAGAACAGAGGAUUAUAUGAUCACUUAUCUAAAAUGGCGCUUCAUAGUUCAACAGAGUUUUCGAGAGCUACGAUUGCUGGUUGGUUCCUGAAGUAACAUACGCAAAUAUAGUUAUUAGACUUAUCCAAGUGGGAGUCUGUUGGAUAAGGUGUCUAAGUCCAUAACUUAUUUGGUACAUACUUGACCCGACCCGGCAUGGUCCAUUUGGGUUGCACUUCACCCAAACGAUUUAUGGAUAAUUUUAUGAGAAUUGUAUACUUACGAUUUAUUAAUAUAUUAUAAGUUAUAAUAUAUUAAUAUGAAGUCAUGUUAUUUAAUUAGUUUUAGUCUUAAAUUAAUUAUGAAUUAAUUUAGAGAUUAAAAAGAAGACUGAUUAAAUUAUGGGCUAUUAUAUUUUAUAUAGUGUGGGCUAAUACUCAUUUGUUAAUGGGCUAAGCUAAUAUGAAAGUCCAUGGAUGAUCCAUGGAGCUUUUAACCCAUGGAUCCUUGGAAAGGAAAAGACAUGGGUUAUUAGGGUUUCACCCUAACCAUGCACACUAUAUAAAGAAGCAUAUGAUGCAAGAAAUGUGACACUAGUAGUGUGAGACUUAGUGGUGGCCGAUUCCACAAGAAAGUAUACUACUCUCUCAAAGUUUUCCAAGUGUUUGUGGUGAUUUGUGAUUCCAUUUGAGGCAUUUACACUAUUGGUGCUUGGCUCUCAAACUCCAAAGAAUCAACCAUCAUCAAAAGGUAUGUAUUUCUACUAGUACUUUUAUGAUUCAUAAUCCUUAUGCUAUGCUAGUUAGGAAGAAACCUUGGAAGUUAUCAUUUGCAUGUAUUUUAGAAGAAAACAUAGAUCCAAGGUUUAUUAGGGUUGCAUGCACACUUAGGAAGUGUUAGAUUGCUCAAAACCCAACAAUCUAUGCGAGAAAAGGGAUAUAAGAAAUAACUAACUAGAUGAACUAAUUAAGAUAAUUACAGUAAGACCAAAUACCCCUAUGGUAUUUCUUUGUGGUUGUGUUGGUAAGUUUUUAGACUUAUUGCCACAUCACAACCAUUCUUGUGCAUAUGCUAAUCACUCCUUGGACCAGCAUAGUUGAUCAGNAUGCUAGUUAGGAAGAAACCUUGGAAGUUAUCAUUUGCAUGUAUUUUAGAAGAAAACAUAGAUCCAAGGUUUAUUAGGGUUGCAUGCACACUUAGGAAGUGUUAGAUUGCUCAAAACCCAACAAUCUAUGCGAGAAAAGGGAUAUAAGAAAUAACUAACUAGAUGAACUAAUUAAGAUAAUUACAGUAAGACCAAAUACCCCUAUGGUAUUUCUUUGUGGUUGUGUUGGUAAUUUUUUAGACUUGUUGCCACAUCACAACCAUUCUUGGGCAUAUGUUAAUCACUCCUUGGACCAACAUAGCUGAUCAGGCUAUGCCACUCCCAAAACUGACCAUAUAUCCCCAGGCUCACUUGUGAUAUUCAACAAUUGUAAUACUUUUGUUCUUGUCGUUGUGACACCAACUUUUGUAUGAAUGCAAGCAGCUAUACUUAAUUAAAUAUUUUAUUAUUUAAAAGUAUAAACUCUUAGUCAGUGUGUUUUAAUCCCAAUGUAUUUAUAUUUAGUAUAUCUUUUAUGGGUUGAUAUACUAUAUACACUAUAAACAAUGCUCUGAUACCAAUCCGUCACACCCGAAAACCAAGAACGGCGGAAACGUUCAGGGGUAGAGGACGUCAUGUACAGUAUCACAACAAUGCAAAGUAGUAAACAAGCAACAACAUCAUCCAUUGCAUUAAAAGUGAAUAUUUAAUACAUGUGUGUUCUUUAAUAGUAAUAAGACACCAAAAUAUGAAAUCAAAAUAAAAGACGAGUCUUGUCUGUGCUCCGUUCUCAAAACCUGGCCAUCGUACCUGUCUACUGGUGACCUAAGAAUACAAGUUAUUUUGAAAGUGAGUAUCAGCAUAAAGCUGGUGAAUUCAUGAGUAUUUAAGUGUCAUUGUCUUGUUUUGGAAAGUUGUUAUGAAUGUCAUGUAAAUCUUUGAAUGAAACAAUUGAUAUAAGUAUGAAAAACCCUAGAAAAUCUCAUAUUUCCUAUCAGUAUAAGAGUAGUCUUCUACCAAGACCCGAAUGUUUUGAAAGUAGUCUUCUACCAAGACCUGUAUGCUAGAAAGUAGUCUUCUACCAAGACCUGUAUGUUUUAGAGUGGUCUUCUACCAAGACCUGUAUGUUUUGCUAUAACAAUGAUAGUUUUCCCUCUUUUGACUAUUACUAACAGUACCUAGUCUACCUCAUCGUUUAUGUGAAUGUAUCACAAAAUAAAGUAAUAGGAAAAAUAUAGCCAUGUAAGUGUUAUCCUUUUGUAUUAGGAUCAACUCGACAUCGCGACUGCCGAAAUGUAUAACCUUGAACAUCCGUAGAUUGUUCAUUUUCCUAUGUAGCUGGGAGCAAGUUUAAGGAAUGGUUAGUCCCGUAAAGAUACCCCUAAUAUAAGUAUCAACCGUAGGCAUCCGUAGUUGUUCAUUAGCUCUGUUGCUAACAGGUGGGUUCCGGAAUGGUUAGUCCCGUCUAGUUAUCCUUUUGAACUAGGAUAGGCAGAACAAUUUACACGUAUAAUAUGUACUAGUAACUCAUCAUAUUGAAUCUAGGUACAAGUAUCCAUGUAAGUGUAUACAAAUAAAUGUAUAUAUGUAAAUGUAUCCAUGUAAGCGUAUCGAUGUAGACAUAUUCAUGUAACAUGUAAUGUAUGGUAUAGACUCAUGAAUGAACUGACUCUGGUGUAAUUCCUUGUAAUAGGAAUAAUGUUUUGUAUCUCCUAACUAUCCCGAUAAUAGUUAACUGGAAGGUAAUUGAUUGUCCAAGCAGGUUUAUACACCCUUUCUACACAAGAGUGUGGGAAACUGAAUGAAGGUUUGAAAGAUAUCAUAUCAAUACAUAUAUAAGAACAUAACUGUAUCGAUAUAGUUUUGAUCAAGAAAAUGAAAAUGAUUUUGUAAGACAUUUAAGAGUUUUGACCAAUAAUUAACAAUGACUUGAUGUCAUUUUAAUAAACAUUUCAAAAGUAAUACAUUUGAUAACAAAGUAUUUUUAAGAUAGAAAACCAUUUCAUACAUCACAUUUUGAAGCAUGUGAAAUCGGUUGGACGAAACACAGUUAUAAAUCACAUGUGAUUGAUUCUAUAGCAUGCUGUUUUCUACUUGUAUUCCCCCCAUUAAAGCAUUUAAAUCAUUUAAAACAUUGAUUAAGGGGUAUGAACUCACCUAUAGAUGGUGGUUUGAAUGAACUAAACGGUGUAGGAUUGCUAAGUGUCAAGUGAAAACUUGUACACACCCAAAGAUCCAAGUUAAGAUAUAAUCACACAUAUAUGCACCCAAUUAGUCUUAAACUACUAAUUGAAAAUGUUAAGACAUCCUAGAACAUGAUAAACACUUUAUAUAUGUGUUAUAAGCCCUAAGGAUUGCAUCUAAGUUGUUGUAGGACAAGGCUAGUGGGUUUAGGGUUCCAAAGGACCCUAUCCUUGAGUUUACUCUCCAAUACCAUAACAACAAUGAGUUUACGGUAGUAAACCGUUGAGUUUACGUGUCCCUUAGAAGUAUUGCUACUUGAUGGCUUAGUCCUUGGAAGAGAUUAGGAAACCUUUCAACUGCUUUGAGGAGUUCACGACCCUAGAACCAAUUCCCUUAGAGAUUAUGGUCGUAAUCUCUCAUGGGUAUGGUGUUUUUGGUGUUUUCAAGUCCCUAACUUAACUAGGAAUGAAUCUAGGCUAGUGUCCAAGGCUUACGAAGAGUUUAAAGCACACUUUGGUACCCUUGAUUGGGGUUCAUGGUCCAAGAACUUCUUGGGCCGUGAACACCUUACUCUUGGGGUGUUUUCUAGUCCUACAUACAUUAGGAUACGAGUCUAGGCCAGUUUCAUUGCAAAAAGGCAGGGACUAGGGCACUUAUUUUUCCCUUAAAGAAGGGUUUACGAUCCAAGAUGUUCUUGGGCUGUAAACUCUUUGAUCCUGUGGUUUUGAUAUGAUUUCUAGUUUAUUAGACACAUAUCAAGCCCUAUAAUACACUUAGAUAGAAGUAAUCACGAUUUGGGACGAAAGGCCGAAGAUCCGUGACAGAGAAUUUGGCUUUUUUCUAGUUGGAAAUGGAACAAAUGAAUAAAUAUGGCUAAGGAUCAUAUAUAUACCCCUAGGGUUUUGGACCGCAAACUCUAUGUUUGGGUCUUAUAAUUCCAAUUUCUUGGAGUAUGAAAUGUCAUUGUUGCACAAUAACCCUAAUAGCAUCCCCUCACCUGGCAUCUCCUAAAGUGUAAAUCAUAAAAUGUUCAAACUUAACACAAAUCAUUUGAAAGUUAACAGUAACUCUUCUGACUUCUAUUGACUUGAUAUGUAGUACAGAAUGGAAAUUUCGGGUUGUCACAUUUAACCACUUAGAACACCAAAACCAAUGUUCGAACAAUGAACAUAUCAAUUUAAGCACCCCAAAACUCGAUUGAAUGAAGCUUGACACUGGUUACUGCUCUAAUACCAAUUGUAAGGUCCAAAUAUGGAUCUUUACCAGUAAUCAAGCAAUAAACAAUCACAGAAAUAGGAACGAGAUGAAAAGAAACCAAGCUUGCACAUGAUUAUAUUCAAUAAAUUGCCAGGUACAACACGAUGGACUGCUCUGUAAACUCUAUGGCAUCAACAACUACAAAAGACCAACUCCUCCACUAUUUAUACUUGACUUAGACCGGAAACUGUGUUUGCUAUCGUACACAGGCUUUACGGCCGUAAACGUGUUUACCGCCGUAAACUCAGUUUACGGUCGUGAACACACAAAAUGACCAAAAUACAUAAACAACUCAUAAACUGUAUUAGAGACUCUUGCCAAAACAAUAUACACUGAAAGCCUAGACGAAACCAUUAACUGGACUCUUCAGUAAUACCUUCUGAAUGGAUAAAUUUUUCAAUUUUAUCCAUUAAGAUGGUCCUUAAAACCAAGAUCUAAACCUUCAGUUCAAAGGGACCGAGAAUGCAUAUUUCUCAACUUAAUCCAUUAAGUCCAAAUCUCUAAGCUAUAGAUCUGAAUCAACAUUAUGUAUAAAUGGAUAAAUUUCCAAAACUAUCCAUUAUCAGGCUACAAACUUCCAAGAUCUAAAACCCUAAUUUGAGAAAUGACCAAAAACAUAUCUUUCUUUCUGUAUGGAGCAAAGAGAACUCGUGUAUUCACUCUCUACUCCACAAAUGACCAUAUAUUAGCCAUACAUUAAUCAAAAACUCAAGAGCCAUUCAAACUCUAUGAAAUAAGCUACCAAGGUACAAAAACUCAUUAAAAUAGACCAAAACUCCAUGUAUUCAUAGAUCUGAAGAUAAAACAAAAUAAACCUUGGAAUUUUAUGACUUAUAAUGGUCCAAAAGAUAAAUGGAGGUUUGAUACUUCAAAUAUAUAACUUUAAAGACCAAUCUUUCUUUUUCUUCUUACUACUAGAGAACAUUACCACUAAAAGAAAGCACCAAAUGGAAAUUAAGAGAUUACUAAAAUAGAUUUAGGAGAGUAGAUGAGUUCCAAACACUUCAAUUAAUGCUAGGAUUUCAUUAGAGAUCUUUUAUAGUAGGUGGAGGCUGAAAAUGGUGAAGUCCAUACGGUUAGUGACCUUUAAAUAGCCCAAUAACAUAAAAAACGUGAAACCUAUUUCUUUUAAAGGGCGCUCCGCGCUCCUUAAAAAAUUCUUGAUUUUUUUGGUUUUUCUGUUUCAAAUUCAAAUAGUCAUAACUUCUUCAUUCUAACUCUGUUUUCAGUGAUCUUUAUAUGCAUGCAAAGGUAUUGACAAGCCCUACAACUCUAUCUAAUUACUUUUGUCUUAAGGCAUACAUAACAUAAUUUAUUAAUACAUAUAAAAGUACAUAAUAUCACUUUUCCUAUUUUACCCCUUUGCCUCCGAAGCACAAUCAAUGGCCUAAUCACUUAACCAACGUUAUGAACAUCCAAUAAGGUCUAAACGUUACUCCAUUGAAGUACAAGACCUUUACUCAAUCAAAUUACGGUACACAAUCCCUAAAUAAGAAACAUCCCAAAAUUAGAUUUUACAGCUUUUUCACUCAUGAUUCUAGAAAACCGAAACAAGAAUUCAGAUUCUAUUGUCGAGGUUGUCGGGGGGNNNNNNNNNNNNNNNNGUUUAUACACAAGAUGUAAGCUUGGAUCUUUUUGAAAGUUCAUGUGAGCACUUUGCGAAUCUGAUAAUUCAACCCUAUGUCUGGGUUACACGAAAUCCAAAUUAUGGGAUAAUUCUUUAAGGAACAAUCUCAAAUCAAGGCAUUGAUAUGGACCCACUCCAAGGGCAGUGCCUCUUGAUCCCCACUAGGGGCGUUCCCCUAAUAAUCCGCAGGGNNNNNNNNNNNNNNNNNNNNNNNNUACCUUUACCCCCACUAUUUGGUCGAACCGAGAUCAAAUUCGUUUUAUUUAAACAUACUCUACACCAUCUAACUUGUCUAAAAUCAAUACUUCAACUAUAUUGAUAAUAUAUAAAUUCCAUUAUAAUAAAAUGAACCUUGCGAGAUUAAAAUUGCCAACGUGGCUUAAAAAAUCGACUUUACCAUCUUAUCAAAUCAAAUUAUAACGUAAAAAUCCUAUAAUUAUUUAAUCAUAACUAGCUGAAAAACCCGGCCUUAGCCCCGAGUCGGUUUUUUGUGCUUUUUAUAAAAAAAUGUAAAAGUUUUGACUGUAAGGACCAAAAAUGUCAAAAUGGUUAAAGAAUUAAAGGGGUUGGAAUUAACAAGUUUUUAGAAAAAGAACCAAAGUUGUCAAGUCCUUAAGGUUUUGUGUCAAACUUUGAAUAUUAUAAGGUUCCUAAAAAAAUAUAAAAAUUUGAUUGAAAUGACCAAAAGUGUCAAAAUCUACCCUAAUAAAUGAAAGUUUUUUUUGUCAUAUGUCACAUUUUCAUUUAAUUUGCCAAAUGUUAUUUUAAAUUAAUUUUUUUCCACAUGUCAUUUUAUUAGUUUUUUCUAUUUUAAUAAAUUUCACAUAAUAAUUUAAUUUAAUAAUUAUAGUAAAUAUAGUAAUAAAUAAAUAUCAAUUUAAUUAAUAGACUUACCUUCUUAUUUCAAAAUUCUCAAAUUAAAGUUCAUUAAUUUAUUUUGUUUAUUUAUUUAAAUUUAAAAGAUUAAAAAAAUCAAUUUUAAUAAUCCAUUAUUUUUCUUAUAAAUCCAAAGUUUUUUAAAUAUUUACACAUUUAUAUUUAAUUUUUUUUAAUUAACCGAUAUAAUAUAUUAAUCUUACACCUAGUGGUAAAAACAUGAGAGACAAAAUUGACAAAAAAAACAAGCAAUUUUCUUGUUUAUAAAGGAANNNNNNNNNNNNNNNNNNNNNNNNNNNNNNNGAUAUUCGCACGUGUCAAUGGAAUUGCACUGUUCAAAUUAGUCUCUUGAAUUUCCAAAAGUAUAUUGUUAAAGCAUCAAUUCCUACUAAAACUAUCCAAAAGUAACGAAGAAGUGUAGAUAAUUAAUGGUUUGAUUUAUUUCAAAUUGAAAAAAAAAAAAAGAAAAAAACAAUCGAAAAAAUCUCUUUUAAGUCAAGGAGAAGAAUGAAGAUGGAGUCAAGUAGGGUGGUGACAGUUUUUACGUGCACACUGGUGGGAACAGUUUUUGAUAGAUUUGAGGCUUGAUUUUGAUGUAUCAGUGAGAAAAUUCUAUUAAGAAAGACAUCUCAUGAACCAUCACUUUGGUAAUCAUUAUGUGUCAUCACUGUCAAGUAACAUCCGUAUGGCCUUCUUAUGUUCCAACAGGAUUAUAUAUUAUCCAUAGCGAACAAUCAUAAUUCGUUACGUUAUUUCGGUAAUAAACGAUGUCUCAUUCAAAAGAAAAAACCCUGUUUUACUUGUUAUUUUUAAACAUAACAAUUUUAUUUAUUUACGUGUAAUUAUUGAUUUUUCAAAAAUGUUCUGGUUAAAAUUUAGAUUUGUUUAAUACGCAUUUACUCUAAAUAUGUUAAUCAUCUUUAGUUCAUUUUAAUUUUAUUAUGUAACAUAGUGACUUGAGAUAAUUGAAAAAUUAGUUGUUUUUCAAAAAUAAUGUUAAUUUUAACAUGCAUAAAUACUUAAUUAAUAAAAGUACAAACAUCUACAAAUUAAUUUUGAAAUUAUAAAAUAAAAAAUAAUCAUCAAGUAAUAAUAAUGACUAUUUCUAACUACCAAUUUAAAUUAAACACUAAAACAAAAAUUCGAUUAAAUUAACUUUUAUCAAAUUUAUUGAUUUAGUAUUUAUAAAAAUUAAAUAACAUACAUAAUAAUAAUUUAAUAAAUAAAUUUUAGUUAUAAUACAAAAUCUUAAAUGUCCUAUCCAAAGAACAUAAAAUAAUAUAUUUAUAGUAAAUUUAAAUAUAAUGUAUAUCACCUCAUUUUAUUCUUGUUGAUUUUUUUUUUUUUUUUGUUUUUUAUUUAUAAUGUUGUUAUAAAAAAUAGCAUAAUUAUAUAUAGAGUAAAUUAUAGUCUUUGUCCCUUUGGUUUAAAUAAAAUAAUAGUUUUGGUCUUUCUUUUAUGAAAUAACACCAAUGGUCCUUAUUAAGGGUAUGGAUAACACCAAUGCUCUCUAGGACUGUUAACCCUUCCUUUUUCUUAUUUUGCACGGUGCUGCAACCCUACUUUUCAUCCUUUUCCCUCUCUUUCUAAUUGCCACUAAUAAAAUGUAUUGUAUCACUAAUAUCCGCACCACAGUUCCAUUGAUCAUGGACUUGGAACGAAAUAACUAUGAUUCCUAGCUUUAAUUAUUCUUCACCUAUUGUCCAGGUUAUAGUGUUAAUGAUUACAUAACCUUUGCUGUUAAUACUAGCGACUCUCACAGAUUAUUGGUCAAGCAUUGACAAUGUGGUUAAAUAUUAGAUUUAUGGAAUGCUACCCGAAGCACUUAUGUAACAUCCCGAUGAUGAGAUACUUUUAAAUUGGCCCAAUGAUUUAUUUAUAUUUCAAUUUAGACCCUAAGUAUAAGAAAUAUUGCAAUAAGUGCCCUAGUGGCAUUUCCAUAGUUUUGGGUCUCGGGGAAUACGUCAGGCGUACGUGCGCACGCUGAGCGUACUAGGGCGAGCCUUAGUACGAUGGGCGUACAUCUGUAGGUGUACAUGUCAGUCAUGCAAACCCGAAUUUUUAGGGUUUGGUUCAUAUUUAAACCCCAUUAUAGCCUCAUUUUCCCUCACCUCAUCAGCCUCCAUCCUCUUGGAACGUUCUUGAAACCCUAAUCCAUCUUAUCAAGAAUUUCUAAGCUUGAGUGUGGGUGUUUUCUACCUUUGAAGAAAAAGGAAGGGAGUGGAGACCACCUUGGAGGAGUGAAGCUCUUUAGAUCAAGAAUCUCACCACCUUUUGGCAUCAUUUGGGGGUAUAAAGUUCUAAACUUGGUGAAGUUUCAUUUAGAUCUUGUAUUGGGUUGGUUUUUUGUUCCAUUUUGUCGCAAAUGUGGUGAUUCAUGAACAUAGCAUGUUCUUGACCCAUUAAGUUGCCCUUUCAGACCUUAGGAGGGGUCUUAAGUCAUAAUGAUGGGAUCUAAGUUGUUGAUUUGCUCCAUACAUCAUUUUGAGGGUCAUAAUGGAUUAAGUUGUUGAGUUAAUCUCUUAAUGGAUAUGCAAAGUCAUAAAGUUGUAAACUUUACGACUCUAGAGGGUUUUUUAGCCUUGGAUCUAAAAGUUGGAUGUAUGGACUUGUGACAUUAAGCACUUACUGAAGAUUGGAAGAUCUGGGCGUAUGCCCUACGUAUAUUGAGUACGCAGCGCGUACGUUGUCAAGGACCCUAAUGGCGGUCAACGAUGGAGUACGUCCAGCGUACAUCUAGACUAUGCCUCGUGUACAUCUUUGGUGUCACACCCCCGAACCAGACGGCGGAAACGUCCGGGGGCUGUCGUGACUCAAUUGAAUACCAUAACAUUGAAUAUAUAUGAAACAAACAACAUUCGUCACCAUUCAUCAACAUAAUACAACCAGCAGUGUUUACAUGUCAUACAUUGUUGAGAUAUUACAAUUCCAAAAAUUAAUAUUGUUUGGUUCAUUCAAAAAUGAACUGCAACCGUCACUGAGCAUGAUUUCCCUUGACUCACUGGUUUCCUGAGAAUACAAGUAUUUUGAAAAACGUCAACAUAUGAAAUGUUGGUGAGUUCAUAAGUAGUGUUUGAAAUCGAAUGUUUAUAUUGUUUGAAAAACCACCAGAAAAUCCGAUAUUUUCUGAAAAGAAAAGCUUUCAAAAACGUUUGUGAAGAUCCAUAGGUAUGCUUGUUUGUUUCUAUACUUGCAAAAAUUGUUCAUUUAAGAUGUAUGCGUUUAAAAUCUGUAUGUGAUAAAAACCCUAGGGAAACCCGAUGUUCCCCUAGUUCUUUUGAAAUCCAUUGAGUUGCGUUGAAACCAUUACAAAAAUAGUAGUAUCGGUCCCAAGCGACGUUGGAAGGUUCUCGAGCAUUGAUUAUUUACUACAAACCCGCAUUACACAAAUGCCCGGUUUAUAGAUAUACCAACGAUUCCCGAAGGCGUCGUCAGUACUAAUCACGUUAUCCAAUCGCCCGGACUAUGAGUGGUCCCACAUCCGAAGAGAAAGAGGUCACGAAGACCCCGGUAACUCUAUUAACCGGCUUGGGAAAAAUGUGUGCGAGGGGUCCCCGACCCGCCUCGUAAAAUGUGUAGACUUUUCUAGCAAUACCAUGGCCCUUGGGGUCCAAUGGUACAAGCCAUUGAAAGUCACCCUACGUUGUGCCAAGUCGGUAAAACUCAACACUUCGUAGAAAAAAAAUGUCUUCGGGCCUUAAGAUCAGGUCAUUGGGCUAGCUAGGCCCAACAAACAAGAUUUUACACUUUUGGGGCCCGAAGAUGGUGCGUAGACGUCUGUGCACACUCGUAUGUAUGUGUAUUACCAAUCGUUAUUUGUAUGUAUCAAAGAGUUAGUAGUUGUAGAUUUCCAUUGGCUCGAGACCGAGCCAAUUCGUUUAGCAACGACUUUUGGUAUUGUAAUGAGUUGUAUUUCGUUGAUAGUUGAGGUGUCAUUAUUUGAUCACAUUGUACAUAAUGAAUCAGCCUUGAAAUAUUUCUGUUUUCAGCCCCUCAUUAUUUGUAAAAUUUACAUUUUCAACCCUUUUAUUUAAAUAUUUCCCGGUUUGGUCCUUAAACUAUUUUUCUUGACAUUUUAACACCAAAAAUUAUUGAAAUUAAUAUUUUCCAGCAUAUUUUUCAAAGAAAACAGUUUAAGUCCCUGAAAAUGCAGUUUUUCUCGGUUUUAGCCCAUCUUUUCGCAAUUUUGACAAUUUUGGCCCAAAAUGGAAAAUUUUUGCAACUUUGGUCCUUUUUAAAUUUAAAAAGCAUUUUAAACCUUUGAAAAGGGUUUGGGACACUUAUAGUCCACUGUUUUACAGAAAGUUACAGUUUUGGCCCUCCAAAACAGAAAAAUUCGCAUAAUGGGCCUUAUUGGGCCGAAAUUUGCAUUUUUAGCCCAAUAGGCUUGAAAUUUAUGUUUUUAAUCCACCAAUUGAAUAGAAUUCCAGAAAUAGCUUUAUUGAAACUGUUUUGACACAUUUCAACCAUCAGAAUCUGUAAAAUGUCAUUUUGGGCCCUUAAUUUUGUAUUUUUCACAUUUUUGGCCCAAAAUGUGUGUUUUUAGCUUAAAGAAAAUUGUUGCUAACCACUUGGCUAUUUAUCUAGUAUCACUUAUUAUGUAGGAACAUAUUUGAAGCUAAUAUCAUAAAACAUGAGUUAUAUCUCGGUUUUGAGGGGUUUAAUGGCUAGAUCCAACAUUAAAACACAUAUAAGCAUACAUAUAAGCAUGGAAAUCAUACAAGGCAUACAAAUACAUAUAGAUCUACACUUUCACUUGUAUUCCCCCCCACAAAAACUCUUAAAAACAGAAAAUAGGGGUAUGAAUCUCACCUUGAGUGGGUAGUUUCGGUUCUUGAAGAAAAAUUGGAAGAAAUGAAGUGAUUUUUGGCCCUUGCACUCCUUGAUGAACUUUUCGAGAUUAUGGGGUUUCUAGAGUGCAAGAUCACGGUUUUUACAUGGAUUAGGAAGAGAUUUUGAUAACAAAAGAAUUUAAACCAUAGAUCUAUGCAUAAUCUUACCUUAGAUGAUGAUUUACUUGCAAAAUCCUCUUGGAAAGUCCCUAAAUUUCGAGAUUUUUGGAGAGGGGAGGGAAGGAGAGUUCUUUGAGUGUUCUAGAGAGAAAGUUGAGAUAUUUUGGUGUGUGUGAUGAUGCUUGGCCGAGAGUGAGAGAGGAGAGAAGAAGAAAUGACUUUUGAAGUGAUUUGCAUGGAGAUAUGGACUAAGAUGCAUGGAGACAUGUUGGGUAAUAAUGAGGUGGCAAGCAAAUAGUCAACCCUUCUUCUUGGGCUUUUCUUUUGGGCCGAAAAUGGGAAGGAAAAAAAAAGUUUUUGGGCUUUUUGCUCCUAAGCCCAACAUUAGUGUUAAUUAGGGUAUUUAUUGGACUUAUAAAAUAAAAUUGUGAUUUUUGUGCUUUAUUAAGCUAGGUUAGGUUUAAUUAUGGAUCAAAACUUGUGUUUUAUUUCCUUCUAGGUUCUACCUAGCCCAAAAUAUUGAAAUAGACGAAUGUGGGUCCAAUUAGAGCCCAAUUAGGGUCCUAACCCAUGAUAGUCCAAUUGGAAGCUUAUUGGUCCAUUUGGAUCCAAUAAAGAAGUCUUAGUCCAAAAUGGACUUAACCAAAACUUCUAGGGUCUCCAAUUGUUUGAUGGCUAUCUAUAGUACUUGUAUCUUGUAUUUGGUUAAAGUUUUUGAUUCACAUUAACUUGAAUGUAUAGAUUACAUAGCUUAAAAUUCACAGUUGUGACAUUUGGUGUCAACUCGGCUGAGUUGACUCGGCUUGGUUGACUUAGCUGACUUAGAGAUUUUUGACCAGUUUGACCAUGGACUUUGACUUUUAUUUACUCUGUUGACUUUUGACCAAGUUUGACUUUAGAUCAAACUUGAGGGUUUGGAUUGGUGAAUAAGACUUUGUAUGGUUCUACUGUUAGUGGAUCUGUGGGAGUAAGCAAUGUAGCAGGGAACAGAUCAUGGUAUUCUCGGGUUUCUUCAUUUCAGGUGAGUUUCGCCUCAUGUUGCCGUGGGUCGAAGGCACCAAUUCUGGCCCAUUGUUUUUGGUUAUCUAUUCGUAGAGGGAUGCCAUAGGGAUUGUAUAUAGUCACGUAGGAUACACUCAGGAUUCUUGAUCUUGGCUCUCUUACCUAUUCCUUGUUUGGUUGUGGUUCAAGGGUAAGGUCAUCUGUUCGACUGGCUAUCUCACCUCUGAUUAUAUACGGUUCUACAUUUCUUAGAUUGUUGCUACUUUGUAUGACACGAUGUUGUAAUGAUCGGUUAUACCUGUAUUCCGGUAUCGAGUAUACUGAUAGGCUGUAGUGAUCGGUUAGAUCUGUAUUCUGAUAUUGAAUAUGCUGAUAAUUUGUGGUGAUCUAUUAGAUCUGUAUUCUGGUACCGAGUAUGUUGAUAUGUUGUAGUGAUCUGUUAGAUCUGUAUUCGGGUGUCGAGUAUGAUGAUAUGUCAUAGUGAUCUAUUAAAUUUGUAUUAUGGUAUUGAGUACAUUUUUAUGUUGUAGUGAUCUGUUAGACCGGUAUCUUGGUAUGUAGGAUGUUGUUAUGCUAUAAUGCACGGUUAGAUCUAUAUGUUAUUUUUACUUACUGAUUAUCAUCUGGUAGAGUUCCCUAGGGAUUGUCUGUGGUUAUGUAGGAUAGCAUGAGAACUCUUGGUAUAGGCUCUGUUGUCUGUUCCUUGUUUGGUUGAUGCGCUAGAGUAGGAUCAUUUGUUCGGGUGGCUAUCUCACCUCUGGCUACUUAUGGUUAUGCAUUUCAUGGAGAUUAGUUGGUAGUAGGAUUGUGUGUUGUGAGAGGACUAGUAGGUGGGAGUGAGUUGUAAGAUUUAUGUUUGCCUAUUUUAUAUGCAUGCUUAAUCCUUAUUUGUUUAUAUGCGGACAUAUGGUGGUGGUGGGUUGAGAGGGUCAUGCUUUGUUCUGUAGGCCAAGAUACCCUGUGCGGGCCAGCAGUAAGCCGAAGGAAUAGAGGCUCGGGAGAAGCAGUUGGGUUGAUUCGUUGGACCAACAAACCCUGGUAUUCCGGCUGGGAUAGACAGAAGCCCUGCGAGGCGGUCCAGUCAAGCCGAAGGUCGAAGAGCGGUAGUUAUUCAUGCUUAUAUGUUUAUCGCAUAGGGUAUUUUCGGGGAAAUUAACUAAGCCUUAUGCUUACCCAGUUGUUUAUGGUUUCAAGUACCAUCGGCGAUUGCGGGAAGGCGAAGGCGAGACUGUACACACUCAUCAGCAAUAUUGAAGAUUCCACGUUUUCUAUGAGAGUUUGAUUUUUAAUAAAUAUAAUUUGGAAUAAAUGGUUCUCUUAAAUAAUGGGUUAAUAAAAUGGAAAAUUUUACCUUAAUAAAAAUGAAAAAUUUUAGUUGUUAAAAUGGGAUGUUACAAGUUGGUAUCAGAGCUCUGGUUUGAGUGAAUUGGAGGAACACUCGUGUGAAUCCAGUUUCAAACUAGGAUCCAAGAAUUUUUGAAAAAUAUUUUUGAAAGAAAUAAUUCGUAAUAAAAGGGGUUGACUAAGGACAUGGGCUCGGUCUCUUGUCAUGUUCUUGUUUGAUUGUUGGCUUGGGAUCACGAAUGUGGGUCUUGGCUUAACUUUGAAGUUUUCAGGAGGAUGCGGUGUGUACAGUCAGCCAGAGCCCGAACAGGAGAGUGGCUCCUAAAAUAACCAUAUUGGUUAUGUUUUCUGAGUUUUGAUUUUGCUUAUAUGUGAUUUGGUAGACAAUCAUGCUAGUGGAUAAGGUUCUUUAGAAACUGCUGGAUAUAAACACUAGAUUUAUAUGAUGCCUUAUGAUGUAGGUAGGUACUUGUUUGAUGUAUAUUAGUUGAUCAUUUGACAGUCUAUCUAAUCUCAUGUUUUGUACAACAAGCAUGCACAAAAGUAACCGGUAGUGCGAGAGCGGAUGAUUCUAGGAAGAGUACCUAGGAAGUCAGUUGUAGCUCGUAGCGGAAGUGGUAUUAGCAUAUCUAGGAGCGCUCUAGUAUAGUGACUUGGAACCUUGGGAGGAAUUCUGAAUCGACUACGGAUAGGUGUAGAAGGUAGUAUCGGCUAGUACUACUGAAACAACAACAUCCGUAUGAGAUUCAGGAGGAAUUUCGAGGCUGCUAAGUAACUAAUAGGAAUAGGGCUUGGUGUGAUAAGCUCUGUAUUGUGAUGUCUGAUCUUUUCUUGGUAUAUUUCAAUAUGGUAGCUAUUGGAGGUUAAGGAUCAGGAGCAAGAGUAAGCGGCCAGGAUUGACUGAGGAUCGGGCAGGGUGAUCAUUCUUGAAGAGGUUUUUUCUUUUGUUCAGGAGCAGAUACCGAAGCUAGUUAGGCCUGUCAAGGCCGCUAUGAUGGAGUACUUUGAUCACUGAUAUGCUACCCUUUAUGAGGUUGUUGCUACCACAACUACCAUAAUUGUUGUUUUUGUUGUUGGGGUUCAAGGAGAAAUGGAUUUCCAGUACCGAGACUUCGAAAAUACGAAGCCCUUGGUGUUUGAUGAAGUUCUGGAUUCGAUCAUGGCCAUGAGGUGGAUGUCAGAUGUGGAGGGAUGUUUCUUUACCUGCUCUUUCCCAGGUGACCUGAAGAUCAAGUGCGCCCUGAAACUUUUUCGGUCUGGAGCGAAGGAUUUGCAGAGGCUGAUUACUAGUUCAUACACCCCGGAGCAACAAGCUGCAGUAUCAUGGGAGCAGUUCUUUGGGAUGUUCCGCUCGAGAUAUGUUCCAUUGGUGGAGCGGGAGACGUUGGCUCAUGAGUUUUUGGAUUUGAGACAAGGGUAUGAGUCAUUGACGGAGAUCAACAAGAAGUUCACAGAUAGAGCUAUGUUUUUCCCUGAGUUUGCUGCUUCUGUGCAAUCUUAGAUGACCUGGUAUUUAGAUUUGCAAAAGGCCGUUAGGUGGCGGGAGAUUGAGAUGGAACUCCAGGCGAGGGAUCAGAGGCAGGCCCCGUUGCAGUCCCAGCCGGCAGCGAAGCGGUUCAGGCCCACCAGCCAUAGUUCAAGAUCGUUUGGAAGGAGGCGUAUACCUCUAAUGUGUCGCAAGUAUUGCGGGGAGGGCCAUUUAGGCAGCGAUUGCAGGCAGGGUGCACGAGUUUGUUUGCAUUACAGCUAGGAGUGCCACUUCAGAUCUAGUUGUCCUUUUCUUACGUUCGGUAAGGUGCUAAAUCCUACACCCUUAACUUGUCAGCUGCCCGACGGUUUUCAUGGGACGGUCGGAGCACCAGGGACCGAGAACUGAGAUUGGCAUUUUUUUUAGCAUUUGGGGUAGUAUUUAUAUUCAUCUGUAAUGCCUGUUUAUGUUUUAAAUUUUAGUUGUAAUCUUGAAUGAUUAAUUAAAUGGAAGUAUCUUAGUUGGUCUUGGUUUAUUAAAUUGUUUGUAUGAAUGAAUUAAUUAUCUUUGUCAUCAGAUUGUGUGUAUUGGGGUUUAUGAAUGGCGUGCAUAUUCAGAUUCUUCGUGUAUCUGAAUACCAGUUGUUGCGAUCAAGUUGUUAGGUUCUAUCAUAUUUCAAGUGGGGGAAAAUGAGACCUAGCGGUAAUAAUUCCCUAUGGAAAGGUUUCGUUCAAAGUCAGAUUUCUCCGAGUUCAUGGCUUCCACGCAACUGUUGAAUUUUUGGUUUCGCGUCAAGGUCAUUUUUAGUUGUUGUAAUUCUGAAAAAUAUUUGAGUUUAAAUCAACUACAUGGUAGUUGAUUAGUGGUUCGGAGAUGGCCAUGAUUUAUUAUUCCUUCUGCUAAGGGUUCAUACAGGGUUGGUGCAUGUUUGGAAGUUGGGGGACUCGUGAACUAGUUGGUGUGGAUAAAGUGAGCGGUUAAGGGUUUAUGGGGGGUAUCAAUCCUUGAAAUUGGAUUCUGUAGUCUACAUAUUAUAGGUUUCUAUCCUCGGGACACAUAAUGUUGGAAAUUGACUUGGUGGUUGUGGUUUCGAAAAUCCCCAGCUCUGCGGUUCUCACGAGAAGUUCGAUUCACUAAUUAGGAAGUUGUGGAUUAUGCGGCAUGAUACGUGAUUGUUUUGGAGAUUUUCUUUCUAAGGCUCGUAUUAGGGAGAUGCCUUGUUCUCGAAUGAAGGGUUCACCAGUAGUGAUGGGUCAGGAGUCCUGGUACUCAGUGGCUAUUGGGUGUUUGUGUUCUAGAAAUACACGAGUUGUCUCAUACCAGGAAGUAGACGUUCAGGGAGCUCGUCAUAGCCACCGAUUCUUUCUAUUUGGGAUGCGAAUAGACAGAUGAGGGAGCUUUUUCCUGAGUAUUCGUUGCAGGAGACUUGAGGACGAAGUCUAAGUCAAGUGGGGGAGAAUUGUAACAUCCCGAUGAUGAGAUACUUUUAAUUUUUGGCCCUAUGAUUUAUUUAUAUUUCAAUUUAGACCUUAAGUAUAAGAAAGAGUGCAAUAAGGGCCCUAGAGGCAUUUCCAUAAUUUUGGGUUUGGGGAAGUACGCCAUGUAUAUGUGUGUACACUCAACAUACUAAGGCGUGCCAUAGUACACUGGGCGUACAUCUAUACGCAGGGCGUGUGUGUCAGUCAUGCAGUGUAAUGCCCGCAUAUUCAAGCAAAUCAAUUUAGAGAGAAUAAGAGUCAAAAUGGAUUUAUUAUGGACUAUUAUUUAGAAUGAAUAAUCUUAACCAAGUUAUAGUAUAUGUCACAAGGGUUCCGUACAUAUAAAGAAUAUUGAAAUCCGAGUUAUAACAAAGAAGUUAUGACCCGUCGAAGUUUUACGGAAAAACCGGCACGACACCGGAAAUCAUAAAAAGUAAGUUUGCAAUAAAAUACUUUUAACCCUUGGGGAUCUAAACGAAAGUCGUAGUAUAAUUUAAACCUAGAACAUACAUAAAAAGUGAGUUUGCAAUAAAAUACUUUUAACACAUGGCACUCAACUUGACGAGUUGGAGUCUCAGAACUCGCUGAGUUGGUCCAUUUCCCAGCCUAUAAAUAGAGGAGAAAAUGACCUCAUUUCUCACACCUCUCUCAACCCUUCUCUCCUAACACCCCCAAACCCUCUCUUCUUUUCCCUAGUAACUCUAAGUGCUAGAGGCUAGUCCCAGAGUGGCAAAAGGCUCCAUGAAGAAGAUCUUUUGGCUCAGAAGUUUUGCCCUCACAAAGCCCGGUUCCUAGCCAAACCUCCUAGUAAGUGAGUUAUGCUUGCCUUAGUUUAAGUAUAGCUUAUGUUUAAGUUUAUAAUCAUUAUUAUGAACUUAUAAACAACAAAUAUAUUAUAAAAUAUCAUAUACAAAGUGUUAUUAUAAUAUCAUUUAACUACUCGCGGUACGGGGAAUAUGGUUUGAAAGACCACAUAGGGUUGUUGGAUUUCAAAAGUGCUAUAAUGCCAAAAUGGUCAUGCCCUCCGGUGUUUCAUGUUUGGGCCCUAUCUAUACAUAGUGGUUGAAAAGUUGUUUAUGAUGGGUUUUGAGCAUUCUAACACUUCCUAAGUGUACAUGCAAGCCUAAUAACCUUGGAUCUAUGUUUGUCUAAUUAUCAUGCAAAGUUGAAUUCCAAGGUUAUAUUCCUAUCUAGCAUACAUGGGGAACAAUUUCUAACUUGAAUGAAAGAUAGAAUAACUUACCCUGUUGUUGCUUAUGUUCCUUGAAACCUUGUGAGCCUAGCACCCCAAGUGUGAUGCCUCAAAUGCUUCACACAACACCAAAUGCUCUUGGAAAGACUUUGAGAGAAUACACACUUCUUGAAAUCGGCCUAGCCCUCUAGUUUCUUAUGUGUAGCCGAUUUUGUGGAGAAUGGGAUUCUUAUAUAGUGUUGACACAUCUAGGGUUACACCAUGUAAACCCUAAUGUGUCAUGACUCUUCAUUUCCAUGACCCAUGGGUUUGUAACUCCCAUGGAGCAUCCAUGGAGCAUCCUAUGGGUAGAACCCAACUUGAUAAUCCAUGGAGCCUCUUAGCCCACUAUACAAGAUAUGAAUGAUUUACAUAAUCAACCCAUAUAUUUAAUUAGUUAUCUUUUGAUCACUUAAUUAAUUCCAAAUUAAUUCUUUGAUCAAACUAAUCAAAUAAUAUUAUUAAUAUAUUAGAACUUAUAAUAUAUUAAUAAUCUCCAAGUGUUAUUCCUCUCAUUUAGUCUAUCCAAUUGCAUGGUGCCAUGCAACCCAAAUGGACCAUGCCGGGUCGGGUCAAGUACAAACCAGAAAUAGUUAUGGACUUAGACACCUUAUCCAACAGUUUAGUGCUCGUUUUUCGAUCAAUAAAUCAACUAAAAAGCUUAUUUUUGUCCAUGGAUUUUACAAUUUACAUCAUUUUUUUAGCUUAAAAAGAUAAAUUUAUGUUGAUGAAUAUAAUAGACCUAAUAUUUUCUAGUUGGUAUUCUUGUUCCUAUUCAGUUGAGUUUUUGACCUGUCUUGCAUGGGUUCUUCAUCUCUUAUUCUACAGGACGAUGAGAGUUAGGCUUCUUCCUAUGAAGUCCAAAGUUCUUAAAGAAAUUGACGGCUCAUUAACUUGUUUUUACAAGUUCACCAAAGCUUUUUAGGUCCCAUCCUCCUAUUCUACAGGUUGGUGGGAGUUGGUUUUCUUGCACGAAAUCCAAAAUAUAGCACAUCGUGCUUUGCAUCAGAAUUGAAGAUAUUCAUUUUACUUGUUAAUGCAACUACAACUUGUGUUUCAUGGGUUCCCCAUCGCCUAGUCUACAGGUCAUGGUGGGAGUUUGACUUCCUCUUAUGAAGUUCAAAAAUCUAUAAGGAAUUGAUGAUUUUUAUCUUGUGUAUACAAGAUUGCCUAAGCUUCUUAGGUCCCCACCACUUAUUCAACGAGUCUUGGUGGGAGUUGGACUCAUAUUAUAAUGUCCAAAUGGUUUCAGCAAGGAAUUGACGGAUUCGAAAGAAGAAAAAUUCAUCACGAGCAAUUAAGGCGAAUAAAAGAUGUUUGGCAGAUUGACCACGUCUCAGUGUUUUCAUCAUAUCCGGCUCCUCGGGACUCCGAUUUAGGCGAUUCAAGAUGUUUCGGAAACUAGACACAAUUAUCUAAAAGUUUUGUGUUUUGAGUUUUCACUAAUUCAGUCGUUUUCUAGUUCAAAAUCGACGUGGAAGUUGGGGUUAGUUUGUUGGAAGAGUUCCAAUUCGAAAAUAAGGUGCAAUGUGGAGGACUAAAGCUGUACAAUGGUAAAAGUGAAAGAUCAAGGGCUAAAGUUGUUCCAUGCGGAAAGUUAAAAGCUAGGGGCUAAGGCUGCACCAUUCAUGAAAGUUGGAGGGGCAAGAUUGUACUUAUGCUUUAUAUAUAUAUAUAUAUAUAUAUAUAUAUAUANNNNNNNNNNNNNNNNNNNNNNNNNNNNNNNNNNNNNNNNUAUACACACACACGUGAUCAAAUGGGGGAUUCGGACGGGAGAUACAGAGAGCGAGACCAUGAGAAAAACCUAAGCAAAGAAACCUACACUGUCGCCGUUCCUUACACCUGAUCCACCGUAACAAUCUUUCUCAAUUAUCAUCCAUGCACAACUAAAAUAAAAGAAAGAGGGCAUGUACGUGAGUGAGGCAAAGAAACAAAAGUUGUGCUUUCGACUUCCCUGUGUGACCACGACAAUUGGGUGCAAAACAAUCUGGUGUUUUCUUUUCCUUUUUAAGUCUUUACCUUUGAAAUGAGAUAUUAUUUUAAGUUAUUUAAAUAAUUAGGAUUCGAGUAAUGGUGAUGUUUAACUUUUAUUUGUUCAACUGUUAUGGGUUUUGAUUUUAGUUUAAUGGAGUAAACGUUUUGUGGAUUUGGUCGACUAGGGUGAGAUGAUAAUUUUAAUGUAUUUGAUUUUAUUUGAAACAAUUUUGUUGAAAUCGAAUAGCAUAUUCAAAUGUGUGGUUAUUUUAAAAAUAUAAAUUUUGAUGGGUAACUUUGAUUUUGGCUAACACUUGAUCAACGUUAGUUAGGGUUAAUUUUCUUGGUUUAAAUUUAAUAUUUACAUGCUUAUAUUGACUUCGAGAGAAGCUUUAUUUGUGAUAUCGUUUGAAUAUGAAUGUGCGGUUUCGUUAUCUCGCUUAAACUUAACAUAGAUGUGUGUUAGGGCAUUUUUAACAGAACCAUUGGACUUAAUUUUUUUUUUUUUAAAUCAUGAACUACACAGAGAUAUGAGUGAAUGUUUUCUAAAUCGAAUCAUGUGACCGAGAGGUAAUUGAUAACUUUUGUUGGUGUUAAGUUAUAUUUUUCUAUAUAAUUGAUUUGGCAAAUUAGUUGCAUUAGAAGAACCAUUGAACCUGUAUAAGUCAACUGAAUCCCGUUUUUCUCAUAAUUGUUAAAUUGUUCAAUUGUUUUCUUUGUUUGUUCAAUUAUUUUUGUUUUCAUUUUUAAAUUGGUGAAUUUAGUUUAAUUUUAUUUUUAUUGUUUCUUUAGUUAAAUAUAAUCAAUCACUUUUGCAAUCAAUUUCCUAGUUCAUUCUUCCUUAGAAUAGGAUAGUCCCUGUGGGUUCGAUAUCUGGUCUUACGACUAUAUUACUUGCACGACCUCGUAUACUUGCGAGUACGCGUUUUCGUCAACAAAAGUAUUGUUUAACACUUAUAAAACAAUCUCGCUCGUAAAUAGUCACAAUGAAUAUUAGACUAAAAUCUAGCAGUAAUGAUACUAGGUUUUGUCGAAAGAACAUAGAAUUAUUAGAAGGGAAGCGCUGCCCGAGUUUGGAAUCAUCACUUUAACAAGUGAGUGCAUAGUUACUUUCAUCUUACACGUAGAUAUGAAGUAUUUAAUAUAAAGUAUGUGCUAUAUGUGCAUAUUAUCUAUGUUCUUGAUAUCUAUGUUGCAUGAACCGAAUAUACAUGUUUUAUUUGAUGUAAACUGUAUAUGUAUUUAAUACUAUAAAAAUAUUGGGUAAAGAUGAGUAGAUGAAUGUUGAGGGAUGAAAGAUGAUAUAGAUGAACAUUAGCAACUAUGGAAUUAGUGCCCUAUAGAUAAACAUUGGCAUCUGCGCCACAACCUGUAUAUUUUUUUUUAACAACGAUGUAUUAUAAAUAUCCUAGCAACUGCACCUAAAGGAUAAUAUCGGCAGUUGCGCCUAAUAGAGAACAUCAUAAUCCUGGCAUGUGACAACCCGAAAUAUUUGGUUCAAGCGAGGUUUAAAUUGUAAUUUUGUUACAAGGAAAACCUUGGAAACGUUUAAAACAUAAAUGCGUGUAUAUGGAAGCAUACACCUUGGAAGUCACAUAUAAGGUAACCUUUUGAAAGUAAACAAGUUUAUCAAGAAAAACUAGACAAAUGAAUUAGAAUAAGAAUCUUGAAUCAAAAGAUUGUCUAGUAGUAUUAAGCUUAGUCUCCACACCACCCUAGAACAUGGAAGGCAAUAAGAAUAAUGACUUAAGUCAACCUAUAUGGAUAUUAAUAUGGGAAAAAAGUUUUGUGGAACCAUGAUUUAAUGAACCCUUGGCUAGUUAACAAGAAAACACCCAUUAGACACCUUCGAUGGAUGUUUUAGCAUAAUAUCCCACUAAGGCCAUCACCUUUGAGUGCAUGCUAGCUAAAAACAUGAACACACCCUUGGAAAAUCAUCCAAAACUGUGAACACCUUCCCUUGGGCCACCCUUGGCCAUAAACCCUCUUCAUUGGACCUUACUUGACCAUAAAACUCCCUUAGUGGACCUUACUUGACCAUAAACUCCCUUAGUGGACCUUACUUAGGGCAUAAACACCCUAAUAAAACAAAGCUAGUCCGUGAACACAACCCUAGGUAGUGCCUUGGGCGUAAACUCCUUCAAGAUGGGAUGUUAGGGCGAAAACACAUUAUAUCAUCCAAACUUUGACCAUAAACACCACCCUAGGCAACAUAUGGGGCAUAAACACAUUAAAUAAUCCAAACUUUGACCAUAAACGCCAGCCUAGGAAACAUAUGGAGCGUAAACACCUUGUACUUGCUACAAUACAUUGAUAUUUGUGAAGGGUUUUCUACAAACAAUCCUAUGUGUGCAUGCAACCCUAAUUUGGAUCUACGUUUUCACUAUUAGAUACACAACAUUAUGAACACAUGAAUAAAAACCUAAUGUAGGUUGCUAUUUUCUAAAUUCAUACAUAAGCUUAGAUCACAUACCUCUUGUUGUUAUAUUGCAAUAACAAAUUAAAUCUUCAAACCCUUAGUCUUGAAAGCAAGCACCACAAGUGUAGUGCCUCUAAUGGCUCACAAACACCACAAGCAAUUGGAGAGGCUAUUGAGAGACAAGGGAGGAGGUAGAAAUCGGCUCUAGAUACCCUAGGGAUCAAGUGGACGAUUUCUUAUCCCUUAGGGAUCUUUUUAUAGGGUUAAGAUUAGGGUUUCAGUCCUUAUCCUUAUCUAGUUGUUUGCCCACCAAGUAAUCAUAAGAUAAGCCUUGAUAACCCUUAUCUCUUGGACCUUUGGACGAUUUCAAGGAUAUCCAAUCCCUUGAAUUCGUCCAUCCUACUACUAGGAUAACUAUUGCCCUAUUUUGCAACUAUCACAUAAUUACAAUUCAGCCCCUCUAGUUUAAUUAAUUACACUUGAUCACAAAAUUAAUUCCUAAUUAAUUAUUGACCAAUAUUAAUUAAACAAAUAUGAUUUCUCCUUUAAUAUAUUAUUCUUAUAACAUAUUAAUAAAUCAUAAUAACCUCUUUCUCUAUUUAUUUCUCCAGUCAAGUUGCUUUGGUGAAGGCAACCCAAAAGGACCAUGCACAACCGGGCCAAGUACUUACCAAAUAUGGUUACGGGCUUAGACACUAAUCUAACAGUCUCCCACUUGGAUAAGUAUAGUAACCACAAAUGUAACGUACAACUCGAUUAGCAAUCGUAGCUCUCAAAGAUGCUGUCGAACUCUGAUCUCAUCAGUAACUUGUCCUUUAGAUAAGGGAUCGUACAAUCCUCUGUUUAGAUUUUGUGCGGACAAUCACAUGGAACUAAUUGUCCAGCAGUUGGUUUCUCGAUCUCAUAUUCAUUUGACAUAAAACUUAAUUGAACACAUCAAUUCAGUCCUGACCGGGCCCGACACAUAAGUCAAAUCAAAUCAUCGAGCGGCCGUGAUAUCUCUUUUACCCUCUUAGGAUAGAAGUAACAGAUAAACUUCGACUUAUAUGCAUUUACUAUUUAUUAAUCAACUAUACACAACAAUGCGUUUUAUGACAUCAAUUUACUGAUGUUGUUUUGCAUUAUCAAUGUACAACCAAUUAGUAAACAAUAAACCAUAUAUCUUGGUUUUAAGACCAUAUGAUAUUAUCGUCUUGCGAUCACUUUUGUCACAUUCCAUAAAAUGAUUCCAGCAAGCGCGGGUUUAUUCCAAUGCUCAAAACUUGUUCAUAAGCACUCAUGAAAGUUGCAGCAACCUUUUCUAUGUCUAAUACCUUUUAGACACUCUAAAUACUAAUUCAUGACAAUCUUCAUUCAUACCUACUUCCAACAUAUGAACGAUUGUGUACCAUUCGAAUAAUUCGACUAUUCUUAAUAACUCAAUUAUUCAGGAAGUCAAAACAUGCAAAUUAAAACAAUAGUUAAACAACUAACAUAAGACAGUAACUUAUAAAUAAUACUCCUUUAUUUAAUCAUCAAAUGUCAAUUACAUUUAUCUAUUAUAUGUUUCUAAAACUAUCUAAUCUAAACUAAUAUCAUCCUUCAGCCCAAUGCUCCUAGCAUGCUGCAAGUGCUAAGCCCUACUCAGUCCCUUUGUAAGUGGAUCUGCUGGAUUAUCUUCUGAUGAUAUCCUCUUAACCACGAGGUGUCCUUCUUCUACUCGAUGUCUAAUAAAAUGAUACUUUCUUUUGAUAUGCCGAGAUCUACCAUGAUCCCUUGGUUCCUUGGUCAAGGCAACCACUCCUUCAUUAUCACAGAAAAUUUCCAUAGGAUCCUUUAUGGCAGGUACAACUCCAUGGUCUCCAAUGAAGUUCUUCAACCAUAUUGCCUCCUUUGACGCUUCGCUCGCUGUAAUCCUUUAUGGCAGGUAAAACUGGGGUUGAACUCUAACUCUUUCGGAACGUCUAAGAGGUAACGACUCGUUAAUUGGUUCAACCGGAGUUUCCUCCUCGGGUUGAGCGCCAGCGGUAGAGGUUCCUUCAUCGCUCGAUUCUUGAAUCUCUUCAAGAUCGAUUUUCCUCCCACUGUCUCCUUGGCUUAUGAGUUCUCGCUCUCGGAAAACCCCUCUCCUCGCAACGAAGACAACAUUGUCACUCGGUCUAUAGAAGAGAUAUCCAAAGGAUCUCUGCGGGUAGCCGAUGAAAAUACAUCGCUCACUACGAGGUUCGAGCUUUUCGUGAGUCUCUCAUCUUACGAAAACCUCACAGACCCAAACCUUGUUAUGUGCGAACGAAAGAGCCUUCCCUGUCCACAUCUCAUGAGGUGUUUUGGCAACCUUCUUUGUAGGGACUCGGUUAAGGAUAUGGGCGGCAGUCUCUAAGGCAUACCCCCAGAAUGAGAUAGGUAGUGAACCACGACUCAUCAUAGAACGGACCAUGUCCAACAGGGUUCGAUUACGCCUUUCUGCCACACCAUUCAAUUGCGGUGUCCUAGGUGGCGUCAAUUGCGAAACUAUUCCGCAUUCCUUGAGGUAGUCGUGGAAUUCAAGACUUAGGUACUCACUGUUGGAUUAAUGUCUAAGUCCAUAACUAUAAUUGGUAAGACUUGACCCGACCCGACAUGGUCCAUUUGGGUUGCAUGGCAUCAUGCACUUGGAUAGACUAAAUGAGAGAAAUAAGGCACUUAUGGUUAUUAAUAUAUUAUAAGUUCUAGUAUAUUAAUAAUAAGAAUAAUAGUAUUUAAUUAGUAUUGAUCAAGAAUUAAUUUAGGAUUAAUUAAGUGAUCAAAAGAAGACUAAUUAAAUAUAUGGGUUGAUUGUGUAAAUCAUCCAUACUUGUAUAGUGGGCUAAUGCUCCAUGGAUAAUCAAGUUGGGCUAAAACCCAUAGGAUGGUCCAUGGAUGCUCCAUGGUGUAUUUGUACCCAUGGAUCCAAGGAAAUGGAAAGCCAUGACAAUUAAGAGUUUACCCUAAUUGUGUAACUAUAUAAGCAUCUUAUUAUUGAGGAAAAAUCGGCCACUAGAGAUAGUGAAGAAAGGGCUAGCCGAUUUUGAAAAGUGUAGAAUUCUCUCAAGUUAUUCUAAGUGUUUUGAUGAUUGUGAUUCCAUUUGAGGUGUCACACUUGGGGCACUAGGCACUCAAGCUUCAUGAAGACUUUCUACACCAAAGAGGUAUGUAUUCUAUCUUGCUAUAGUCAUUGUUUUGUAUGCUAGAUUAGGAUAAUACCUUGGAAGUUCUUAUUUGCAUGUAUAAUAGAGAAAACAUAGAUCCAAGGUAUUUAGGGUUGCAUGUACACUUAGGAGUGUUAGAAUGCUCAAAACCCAACAGUGGUAUCAGAGCCUAGGCUUGUUUUCUUGUUAUACCUGCAAUAGAAGCUGAAAAAACGAAUCUGGUGCUGUCUGGCCAUCAGACUCGGCGAGUCCAUCAGGAGACUCGACGAGUCCAUGCCUAAAAAGUGAUGAAUUCGAUCCAACUCGCCGAGUUUGUUCGUGCACUCGACGAGUUGGACCCCCAGACAGCAUAUUUUCGAGUUUUUUGGCUAGAAAUGGACUAGGAACAUUACCCUAAGUUGUUUUUGAACUUAUAAACUUGUUUUUGAUGUGGUAAUGUUCAUGCGAAUCCAAUUUCAAAGAUAAUUGUCAAUAGAUUCAUGUUUUGUAUUAGUUUAAGGUUUAGACUAAUUACAUGAAAAAGUUUGAUUUGAUUUAUCUUGUUCUUAUGAGUUGCUUAGAUUAAUAGGAAGUUAUGUGAAAUUGUUGUUUUCAAUCUAUUUUAAUCUAAGAGUUGAUUCUAAAAUGUGUUUUUUGUAACUUUUCCUCAAGUUAUAUGAAAAGUCACAUUUAAGAAUCAUAAAAGUCAUAAAAGUUGGCAAAGGUUACAAAAUGAAGAGUCUAGUUCUAAUUAAAUGGUUUUAUGACCCCAUAACUUGUCCUCAAGUUAUGGAGGUUCAAGAGUCUCUUCAUUAAAUAAUAAAUAAAAAAAAGUGUAACCUUAAUUAGUUCCAUAAGUUUCAAUAAAAAAAUUAAUUAUUUUUUUUAUUAAUUGGUUUAAAGUCUUCCAUAACUUGUCCUCAAGUUAUGGAACUUGAAGAGUUUUUUUAAUUAAAACUACUUUAAAAUCAUAAGUUAUGGAAUUAGUUAGUUUUGAAUAGUUUCAAAAAAAAAACUUUCCCUCAAGUUUUGGAAUUUGAAAAGUUUUCUCUUGUGAAUACUUUAAUUCCAGGUUAGCCCUUAGAAUUUUAAAAGUUAAAAUUCAACCCUUAUACUUUAUAAUAUUAUAAGGUAAUAAUAUUUAUAUAUAUAUGUAUAAGAGUAUAGUCAGUCUUACUACGCCUCAUUCACGAAGCCGGUCUAUAAGGUGGGUAUAAGGUUGUUGCCUAUAAAAUGGCAACUUAAUGGGUGUCCACUCUCACCCACCGCUUGCUUGACUGGUGGAGGGUCGUUAGCCGAACGGGUUUGACAGGACUAGAAUUCUCCCUUCAUUAAAAGUAUUAAUGAUAAAUACUAAGUAACUAAACUCUUAAUAAUACCCAAUCUUAGUUACUUAGGAAAAAUGUGAAUAAGGUGCUAAUCCAUGAAAUUACACUUUACACUUUGUCUAAGUCGUUAGUGGAGCGUGUGUGGUUAACCGGCACACUAACUUGGACUUAACAAGGUAGGUAAAGGGUGACUUAAUAUUUAUCAUAGUAUCGAUGGAGCGUGUGUGGUUAACCGGCACAUCGAUUGAGGGGUAAUUUAUUAAGGGUACCAAGUGAUUUGCAUGGUUACUUCACACCUUGUUUUGUGAUCCUCGGCAUCCCAGUCACAAAACCUGAAGGGCACACUCGAGAUUGAAACAUGCCUUUGAACAGUUCAAUGAAUCUCAAAGAUCUAGGAGUUUCAAAACCAAUUAAAACCUAAUAAUACAUUUCGUUUAUCUUGGUGGAAAUUGGUGAAUCGUCAUUCACCUACCUUCAAAUAUUUUAUAGCUUGGAUUACGGCAUCCCUCUUCCAAGUUAUAAAAGUAUUGUGUUGGGUCCUAGCCUUAAUAUUUCAUAUUGGGUGUUAUAUUAAGGACUUUAAAUCAACUAUCUUGAAUAUCUCCCAAAAGAUGUCUGGUUUAGACAUUUAUGAUCUUCCCAAAUCUCUUGAAACAAGCUUUCCUAAAUGAAGAUGAUGUCCCAUGGAAAUCAUACUUCUUUCACCUCCUCCAAUUAUUCUUCCUAACCCACAAGUUCUUGAAAAGUUUAAGGUCACUCAAGCCCUAUUGGCAAGUAAAGGUCUAUGUGUGGUCACAUCUUGGACAUGUAGUCACAUAUUGACAAGCCGGGAGAGUUGGGUGUCAAAUUCUUGGGAAAGUUGGUGGUACAACUACUUUCUAAGUCAUAUAGUGAGUUCUUUUGGAACAGCUGUGAAAUAGACUAUGACAAGACCCUUAAUGAUCUUAUCUAUUUGCUAAGAUCAACUUCCUAAAAACUUUAUGGACAUUGACAAUAAUGACACUGGACAUCCAGUAAAGCUCUCUCUUCCCAAUGAAAACGGAUCGGCCAUAGUCAACUCAGUUGACCAAAUGGUAAAGAGAAAGGCUAAGUCCGUGAUAGUACCGCGUACCAUUACCAAUGGGUCCAUAUGUUUAUAUUGCCAAAGGAAGGGGCAUUGGUUGCGAAGCUGCCAAAUUUACCUAAGGAUGUUAAAGUCAAUAAGUUUGACUCUACUUCAGGUAAAUUCCACUANUAACUCUAUUAAGUUCCUAUUUGGAGAUUCUUAUUACAUGAUGUGACUGGGUCACAUGUUGGUGGUUAAGAUUCAAAGGAAAAGUGAAGAAACUUAAAAGAAGUAUAUGCAAAUUCUGAUUGCGAAGAUGGAUUUCACUCGCAUGGUUCGGUGAUCAGAAUUUUUGGGCUGUUACUUAAGAGUUGUGAUAUAUAUUGCUUAGGAAUAGAUAACAACAAGUUUUCAUAUGGAUUGUAAGGAUAAGUUUUUCCGCAAAAUUUUAAAAUAUAAGAAAUAUGGUUUUGAUUUUAUUUAUUUUAAGUAUCCUUACAAUGAAAUUUGUGAAAAAUUGUUGCUUAUAAGAUUCCAUUAACAGCAAGAGUGGAAAUAUGAAUUUGAUUCUUUCAUUUGUGAUAGUGUGUAAAUUUACCAAAUAAGAAAAGAUUCUCGUCACCCAAGUUUCAGUUGGAUAGAAACUUGGAAUCAUGCAAGUUGUAUAACAUGAUUAAUGAGAACUUUUGAGCAUUGGAAAAGUUAAGACUAACUACUUGUUCACAUGGAUGUGUGAGUCAAGUAAUGGACAAAGGGAUAUAAUACACAUUCUUGUGCACUGAUUAAGUGCACCACAAAAGAUAGAUAAGACUAUUCUUCAUGAUUUACUUAAGUUUAGUAAAUAUGGUUAUACUUACAAGUUUAAGUAUAAUUCUGAAACAUUGGAAAAGUUUCAAUGUAAGGCAGAACGAAUAUGAAGAGUCAAAUUAGGCAGAAAGAUAAAAGUUUCUUAAAUCUGAAAAGAUGGGAGAGUACUUUAUAUCAGUUUUGUGAUCUUCUUAAUGAUUAAGAAACCAUAUCAAAAUUAGUUCUCUAAGGAAAUCUUAGUGCAUUCUUAUGACUAAGAAGAGGAACUUGAAUUGUUGAAAUGGUUAAAAAAAGAAGAUGAGUCAUACUUCGUUCCAAUACAAGUUUUAGAGUCAUACUCCAAGAUUGUAAUUUGAGUGACAUGUCUUAAAGAAGGUUUAAAACACUUGUCAAAUGUAAGAGUAAAAGUUUUCUACUCUUGUACAUUUGAAAUUGGUAAGUUGUGAUGUUUUUGAUAAAAAAAGACCAAUUAAGGCCAAUUGUGUGAAGUGUGUGUCUUGAUUAGAAUCCACAUUAUCUCUUGAAUAUCUGACAAGAAAGCCUCAUAUGUCAAGAGGACAGUGGGAGUCUUAAAGGUCUUGAAAGUCUCAAGAACUAAUCAAGAACAAAACCUGAAGUUCCUCACUAGCACACGACUUGAGGUUCAUAACCUAUCGUGUUGACAUAUUCUGUGCCCUUUCCAAUUAAAGUUGGUUUUGCAUACGAGUUCUUAGAGUUCUCAAUUGGUUGCACAACAACUUGGAAGCAAUGGCAGGCCCUUGAGCUGCCAGGUGGCAAGAAAUUAAGAUUGAGUUCAAUCCAUAUGGUUUUGGAUUUGUCAUUAUCUUUGUCUUGUGAUUAUGGUUUGACAAAUUCAUAUGGGUAGGAACUCAUACACCAUAUAAAUCUAAGUGUCAUAAGGUUUCUCUCCGAUUCAUGAAAAUGAUGGUGAGGAAACGCUUUCACUAAGUAGAUUUUACGUAGAUAUCAAUUGUGUUAUUUGCAUUUUCAAAAGUCGUUAGUGGAGCGCGUGUGGUUAACCGGCACACU